rnacentral:rRNA from 1 species
CAAUAAGCGGAGGAAAAGAAACCAACAGGGAUUGCCUCAGUAACGGCGAGUGAAGCGGCAACAGCUCAAAUUUGAAAUCUGGCUCUUUCAGGGUCCGAGUUGUAAUUUGUAGAAGAUGCUUUGGGUGUGGCUCCGGUCUAAGUUCCUUGGAACAGGAUGUCAUAGAGGGUGAGAACCCCGUAUGUGACUGGCUGCCUCCCCCGUGUAAAGCUCUUUCGACGAGUCGAGUUGUUUGGGAAUGCAGCUCAAAAUGGGUGGUAAAUUUCAUCUAAAGCUAAAUAUUGGCCAGAGACCGAUAGCGCACAAGUAGAGUGAUCGAAAGAUGAAAAGCACUUUGGAAAGAGAGUUAAACAGUACGUGAAAUUGUUGAAAGGGAAGCGCUUGCAAUCAGACUUGCGCGCGGCCGAUCAUCCGAGGUUUUCCCCGUGCACUCGACCGCGCUCAGGCCAGCAUCGGUUUCGGUGGUGGGAUAAAGGCCUUGGGAAUGUGACUCCUCUCGGGGAGUGUUAUAGCCCUCGGUGCAAUGCCGCCUAUCGGGACCGAGG